rnacentral:rRNA from 1 species
UACGUAGGGUGCAAGCGUUGUCCGGAAUUAUUGGGCGUAAAGAGCUCGUAGGCGGUUUGUUAAGUCUGCUGUGAAAUCCCCGAGCUCAACUUGGGAAUUGCAGUGGAUACUGGCAAGCUGGAGUACGGUAGAGGAAGGUGGAAUUCCCGGUGUAGCAGUGAAAUGCGUAGAGAUCGGGAGGAACACCAGUGGCGAAGGCGGCCUUCUGGACCAGUACUGACGCUCAUGCACGAAAGCGUGGGGAGCAAACAGG